GUGCACUGAUGAUCAUGGAUGUGACUGACCCAGUAUUUCUGGACUAUGGCCUGGAUUUGACUGGGAAAUGACCUCAGUUAAUCUUCUCUCUGAGCAG